CGUGGACACACGCAUUUAGUGUGCAGCAUGCAGUGAAACGUUUUGGUUUGAGGCUUUGAGCUAACACUUUGACAACAUAACGGCAUACUGUGACUGCAAUUCGAAAUUAUCCUCGAAACAUUCAUAUCGCGUUUUAUGUCACUUAUUCAUUUGUCCUUGAAAAGUUUAUUCGGCAAUAUGAAACCACGGGCAUUCUAUACAUUAUGGUGCAUAAUUAUUCUGUGUUUCGGUUUGUUCAUCGGAACGGAAGCACCGAAGCCGGGAACGAGCGGCCAUCCGCACAAAGGGAUGCAAUCGGGCGCGUGUUUCUGCCAAUAUGCCGGCAACAGACCGGUGUGCGGGAAAAAUCUUGUCACAUAUAGAAACCGAUGUGAAGCCGACUGCAAAAAAGUUAACGUGGCCCAUGAAGGACAAUGUCAAGGCAAAUUUUAACUAUUAUACCGUGUAAAGAUGAGAAAAAAUUGGACCGAACACCGACUGAUGAAGUCGUAUUUCAAGAAAUUUUGCACAUUUUAUUGAUCUUCAGUGACCGCUGACUACGCGAGGAAUGUGCAGUAGCACAUUACACAAAAAUUUACAUCUUUUUGCCGGAAGUGAUGAUUUACGUUAAUUAAUAUGCGAGUUGAAAUUGUUCCAAAAAGUGCCGCAUUGUAAUGUAUUUGCACGUUCUCAAUAAAUUUAACUUUUUGGUUACUGCUACAUAAUUAUUCCUAAAUGAGUGUAAUAUAAAAAGCUGCCGGAACUACAGAAACAUGAUUAUGAACCAUAAUAAAAACAAG